GUGCAGGAUAAAUUGCAAUACAGCUCGUGUGGUGCUGUUUUGUCGUUCCCCCUGCAAACAGUGUUUGGGAAAUAGAAAUCUGACUUUGGUCUCAAAAAA
rnacentral:snoRNA from 12 species